rnacentral:rRNA from 1 species
AGUGAACGCUGGCGGUAGGCCUAACACAUGCAAGUCGAACGGCAGCACAGUAAGAGCUUGCUCUUACGGGUGGCGAGUGGCGGACGGGUGAGGAAUACAUCGGAAUCUACUUUUUCGGGGGGGAUAACGUAGGGAAACUUACGCUAAUACCGCAUACGACCUACGGGUGAAAGCAGGGGAUCUUCGGACCUUUCGCGAUUGAAUGAGCCGAUGUCGGAUUAGCUAGUUGGCGGGGUAAAGGCCCACCAAGGCGACGAUGCGUAGCUGGCCUGAGAGGAUGAUCGGCCACACUGGAACUGAGACACGGUCCAGACUCCUACGGGAGGCAGCAGUAGGGAAUCUUGGACAAUGGGCGCAAGCCUGACCGAGCCACGCCGCGUGAGUGAAGAAGGUCUUCGGGUCGUAAAGCUCUUUUAUUAGGAAAGAACAGCUGUGUAAUUAUCUAUCCCCGUUUUGACGGUACCCAAAGAAUAAGCACCGGCUAACUACGUG